AGUGAACGCUGGCGGUAGGCCUAACACAUGCAAGUCGAACGGCAGCACAGUAAGAGCUUGCUCUUACGGGUGGCGAGUGGCGGACGGGUGAGGAAUACAUCGGAAUCUACUUUUUCGUGGGGGAUAACGUAGGGAAACUUACGCUAAUACCGCAUACGACCUACGGGUGAAAGCAGGGGAUCUUCGGACCUUGCGCGAUUGAAUGAGCCGAUGUCGGAUUAGCUAGUUGGCGGGGUAAAGGCCCACCAAGGCGACGAUCCGUAGAUGGUCUGAGAGGAUGAACAGCCACAAUGAAACUGAGAAACGACCAAGACGCCUGCGGGAGGCAGCAGUGGGGAAUAUUGGACAACGGGCGCAAGCCUGAUCCAGCCAUACCGAGUGGGUGAAGAAGGCCUUAGGGUUGUAAAGCCCUUUUGUUGGGAAAGAAAAGCAGCAGGUUAAUACCCCGCUGUUCUGACGGUACCCAAAGAAUAAGCACCGGCUAACUUCGUG
rnacentral:rRNA from 1 species